rnacentral:rRNA from 1 species
UUCGGCCGACUGAAUGAUGGAUUAGUGGCGGACGGGUGAGUAACGCGUGAGUAACCUGCCUUUCAGAGAGGAAUAACAUUUGGAAACGAAUGGUAAUACCACAUAACAUUACGUUCUCGCAUGGGGAUGUAAUCAAAGAUUUAUCGCUGAGAGAUGGACUCGCGUCCGAUUAGCUAGAUGGUGAGGUAACGGCCCACCAUGGCGACGAUCGGUAGCCGGACUGAGAGGUUGAACGGCCACAUUGGGACUGAGACACGGCCCAGACUCC